AUAUGCCUGCGGUGUGCGAUAAAUGCGGCUAAUACUAACCCUAUGUCACUUUAAAGGGAGUCCGGGCUUCUUCGGCGGAUUGCAGACCUCCCGAAUGCGGCAUUGACCGUUUUCGGACGAAGGGAGCGUGAACCCGAGGAGAGGACACCCACCUGCUUAUACGCAGGUUUUUAUUACCGCAUCCGGCAUUGUGGGUUAAA
rnacentral:other from 1 species